CCAUGCAAGGGACCAAGAUUUUAAAAGAAAAAGAACCUGAGCGACUCCAUCAAACCUUUGCCAUAAUCCAUAAAAUUUUUGUUCUUAUAUCUUAUUAUGUCACACCAAAGUUAGCAAAGGAAAUCCAAAAAAAAAAAAAAUGAAACUUUAAACCCGAAACUCAUCUGGUUACCUCCGGCUUCUUUUAUUUCUCUAUUGUUUUUCCAUUUCAUUCUCUUCCUAGCACCAAUCUUCUGUGGUUGUUAACACCGGUCACCAUCAACAACAGUCCAUUCCUAUUGAUAAGUCUUCGCUCAUUGCUGCUGAAACGGCAUCGGAGGACGAGCUUUGGGCAGCUGCUUGUCUCCGUGUUCGCUCCUUCUAUGACUUCCAGGCCUCCUCCUAUGGCAUCCAAUAUUAGGAUCAUAAAAGAUAGUUGGCGGAACGUGACUUUGAAGCACUGAAGGAAAGAAUUGCUGGGAAGCAGGAGGGCUUUAAGGGACUUUCUUGCAUUAAUGCUACGCUUCCAUUGCCACUGUUGUCAAGCCCUGCAAAUGAUUUAUUUGCCGCAUGUAAG